ACAAACUUGGUCAUUUAGAGGAAGUAAAAGUCGUAACAAGGUCUCCGUUGGUGAACCAGCGGAGGGAUCAUUAAAGAGUUUUUUAACUCCUAAACCCAUGUGAACAUACCAUACGUUGCCUCGGUAGGCUGUAUCUACUCUACGCGAUAAUCUAAAUAGUGGAAUGUGUUGUGGCCGGUAGUUUUACCCCUGUGCCGAAGUACCCCUGUGCUUCGGCAGGCCUUUUAACCGCGAUCUUGUAGAAAAUUCGCUAGAGUAAUGCGUACCCCUGCCGGUGGCCCAUCAAACUCUAGUUUUUUUUUUUCAGUUCUGACAUAAUUUAAAACUUUCAACAACGGAUCUCUUGGUUCUGGCAUCGAUGAAGAACGCAGC
rnacentral:misc_RNA from 1 species